UUACGGCCAUAUUAAAUUGAAACACUGCUUCUCGUACGAUAACCGAAGAAGCAAUGUCGAGCCUGGUCAGUACUUAGAUGGGUGACUGCUUGGGAAUACCAAGCGCUGUAAU